GCGCUCGUAGCUCAGUUGGAUAGAGCAACGCUUUCCUAAAGCGUAGGUCGCAGGUUCGAACCCCGCCGGGCGUA
rnacentral:tRNA from 1 species